rnacentral:rRNA from 1 species
AACGAACGCUGGCGGCAGGCCUAACACAUGCAAGUCGAGCGAGACCUUCGGGUCUAGCGCGGACGGGUUAGUAACGCGUGGGAACGUGCCCUUCUCUGCGGAAUAGCCACUGGAAACGGUGAGUAAUACCGCAUACGCCCUUCGGGGGAAAGAUUUAUCGGAGAAGGAUCGGCCCGCGUUAGAUUAGAUAGUUGGUGGGUAACGGCCUACCAAGUCUACGAUCUAUAGCUGGUUUUAGAGGAUGAUCAGCAACACUGGGACUGAGACACGGCCCAGACUCCUACGGGAGGCAGCAGUGGGGAAUCUUAGACAAUGGGCGCAAGCCUGAUCUAGCCAUGCCGCGUGUGUGAUGAAGGUCUUAGGAUCGUAAAGCACUUUCGCCAGGGAUGAUAAUGACAGUACCUGGUAAAGAAACCCCGGCUAACUCCGUG